CCUACGGGAGGCAGCAGUAGGGAAUUUUCGUCAAUGGGCGCAAGCCUGAACGAGCAAUGCCGCGUGAACGAGGAAGGUCCUAGGAUCGUAAAAUUCUGUUUAAGGGGGAAAAAAUCGGAGAGAGGAAAUGGUCUCCGAUUGAUAUUACCCUUCGAGGAAGUCACGGCUAACUACGUGCCAGCAGCCGCGGUAAUACGUAGGGGGCGAGCGUUGGCCGGAUUGAGUGGGCGUAAAGGGUGCGUAGGCGGCCUGCUAAGUCUGGAGUGAAAGGUACCGGCUCAACCGGUACAGGCUCUGGAAACUGGCGGGCUAGAGAGCAGGAGAGGGCGGUGGAACGCGAUGUGUAGCGGUGAAAUGCGUAGAGAUAAGGAAGAACACCAGUGGCGAAGGCAGCCGCCUGGCCUGUUACUGACGCUGAGGCACGAAAGCGUGGGGAGCAAAUAGGAUUAGAUACCCCAGUAGUC
rnacentral:rRNA from 1 species